GGUUUGCAUUCAUUAUCAUUUAUUUUUUUUUUAAAUAAACUAUCAACUUUUGGUCUGGCGAGAAUGAAAAACGUAGAUUAGAUUGUAGGUAAUGCCCCUGAGCUCUUGAGUUGUUUACAAUGCGUUGGGAGGCCACUGACUUUCGAAGGUCUGCAAGUUACGAGUGAUUCUUAACCGUUAAUGAAACUGUAAAGAUGCAGGAGAGCAAAAUAGCCACGCUUAAGAUGGGCUGUUCACUGAUGAAAAUAAAGUAGUGGAACUCGCUCCCACUCGAUUAUAACUUGAAGAAUAUAAGGAGCACAAGGUGACGAGAAGAUCAAAAGUCAAGGUAAUACUUCAUACUUCGCCUCUGUUCACAACAAGGGGGCCGUGUGGCUUAAUGGAGGCACGCAUUCUGCGCUGCCCUUUUCUUUUCUAAAGAAAGAAUGGAUGAAUUGAACACUGGACGUGCUGAUUCAGAGGACGAUUGCUUCGUGGCAUUCCCGCCACAUAAACGAGCGGGAAGGGUACAAAGCAGUUGUAUUUAAAAAUGGUUACAAAUUAAAUUCUGAAACAGCAAUAUUCUUAAAUGAAACGUGUUUACGUGAAGGUAUCCUUCUAGAGUAAUGAUAUUAAUAAUGAAUAACGAUUAGAUCUUUGCAUCAGAGAAACAUCACCAGUAUUAUAACAACGAGGACAUUCUCAGACAAUUUUCCCACAGAUUUUGUUGCUCUUGUGUGCAUUAUACUAUAAUUCAGUCAUGGGAACUGAAAUAUAUUUGUAUUACUCUAAGGUUAUGAAAAUUACAAGGACUAUAUAUAAUUGGAAAUAGAAUAAAUAAAC